UACGAACUGUGCGAACGUUAUUCGGAAUCACUGGGCUUACAGGGUGCGUAGGCGGCUUGUUAAGUAGGGUGUGAAAGCCCCCGCUCAACCGGGGAAUUGCGCCCUAAACUGGCGAGCUGGAGUGAGAUAGGGGUGUGUGGAACUUCCGGUGGAGCGGUGAAAUGUGUUGAUAUCGGGAAGGAACGCCGGUGGCGAAAGCGACACACUGGAUCUUGUCUG
rnacentral:rRNA from 1 species